UUUCUAUACUAUAAAUUUUAAAAAUAUUAAUUAUUUUAAAAAUAUUAAUUUGCCAAUACAAUUAAAAAGAAAUUUAAGGUUUUUUUGUUGCCAAAAUAACAAAUCCCGCGCGAAGCGCGGGCUUCCUCUAGUUUUAUUAUAAACUUAGACUUAAAAUUUUAUAUAUGAUAAACAAAAUUUUACAUUUUACAUGAGAAACCUUUUAGUAUCACACUUAUCUUUAUGGUCAUUAAAUUUCAAAUUAAACAAAGGACAAUUCUCUCAAAUAGAUUUUUUUUUUAAGUUUUGUGUCACAAAAAUAGAUUUCAAAAAGUAAAAUGACCAAAAUAAUUUUUUUUAUUUUGAAAUAUUUAAUAUUUUUUAAGUUUUUAAAAUUUGAAAUUAUACCCCUAAAACCCCACCCCUUAACUCUAAACCCUAAACCCUAAAUCAUAAACCUUAAAUCCUAAACCCUAAAUUCUAAACCAUAAACACAAAAACAUACCUCUUAAUAAAAUAUUUUGAUUAUUUUGAUCCUUAAUGAUUAUAUUUGUGACAAAAAAAAUUAGGUAUAUCCUAGGUAAUUUCUCUUAAACAAAACAUUUGUAAUUAAAAAAUUGGAAAUUUAAGUAUUUUCAAUAUAUCUGAAAACUCAUACACAAGAAAUAGAGUUAUGACAGGGGCGGACCCACGGUAGAGUGGAGUGUGGCACGUGCCAUGCACUAAACAAUAUAUCUCUUUCGCCCUUAUUGAACUAAUAGCUGUUAUCAGCUCUUUUGGUUAUGAGACUCACCGCAGUGCCCCACGCUUCACGUGUUCGACCUCUGUCAUAUCAUUUUCUGUUUUCUUUUGGUAAUUAGGCUAAAGAUAAAUAAUUGCUAGUAUUUUAGUUUAAUUCAAAUUUCAAGGGCAAGACCAGAGACAAAACUAAUACUAACACAAUAAUUUUAUUCUAUACAUUUUUUUAUUUUAAUCACUUUUCAAAAAUAUAUAUUCUUUUUUAAUUGUGUUGCAAAUUUUUUUAUGAGUGUUUUCCUUUUCUUUUAGUAUAUAGUUUUUCGAAGAAAAAAAUUGUGCGCUUUAUUUUGUUUUAUUUAUUUAGUAUUUAUUAAUUAUAAUACUUAGAUUAAACUAACAGCUAUAUUUAAUAAGCGUUUGUAAUGAAACUAUAUGUGAAUAUAUAAUUUUAUUUUAACAUUACUCAAAAUAAAUACUUAAUAUUAUAAAAUGCUUAUCUUAUGUUAAUAAUAUUUAAUUUAAAUAAUGCAUUAAAUAAGAUGCAAUAAUGAAUGGUUAAUGUCAAUCAUUUUAAAUUUAUUAUAUAAUAAAUCAUUACAGAAAAAAAAUUAUUAUUAUAUAAUUUAUUAAUUAAAUUAUAUUAAAUAUUUUGUAAAAUAUAAUAUUUAUAUUGUCCCAUCUUAAUUUAUUUUCUAGAUCCGCUACUGGGUAUGAGUCUAUAUGUCUUUGGACGAUAGCUACAAUUGCUGAGUUCAGGACAUAUCGCCUUACAAAUACCAACAGUCCCAAACCUUAUGAAAGAAUCAUUGGACGCAAAUAGUGUACGCAUACAUUGAAUCGAUUCUCUACUUUUGAACGCAUUACAACAGUGUGAAUUGUUCCGUUGGGACACAUUUAUCAAGGGAGCGACGCAAUCGUCAAUGUGUUUGCAUUCUGCUGGCAUUGGGUUAUUUGGCAUAGGGCGUCUACCGCGUCUACCGGCUUUAAUCUGAGCCGGAAAUGAUGUCAAGAGUAGAAAGAAGGCAAUGAGAAUAAACGGAAUAAUCUUCAUUAUAGUAUCUGACCAAAUUCACAGCUAAAACCAGAAUAAACUUAUUCAGUUUGUAGAAAGUAAUCUGUUUUCUUCGUUUUGUUUUAUGUGCUUUAAAUAAAGAAAUUGGAAACUUGAAUUAAUGGUUCUUAAUUACCCAUACCCGGAAAUUAGAAAAGUUGGAAUUGAUUCAUAUAAAGAAGGGAAGGUCGACAACAAAAAAGGGAAGGAUGCUAAUUCUAUUUUUAUUUACAAAACAAACGAUUGACUUGUUCAAUAUCUUCAUCCUAAUUUUAGUCAUUUCUUUGGUUUUGUUGCAUAAUGCAAAACUAGCUUAUGCAACAAACGAUUGGACAACAAACUCACUGUGAGUGGAUCAGUAUCUCUGUUCGAUAACAUCCUGUUUCGAAUUUCCAUUUAACCCACGUUGUUCAGAUUAUAGGUUUUACAUCGAGAUCCGUAUGGGCCUUAGUAAAAUACGGUGAAGAAAUUGAAUCAGCGGUCUAGAAGCCUGAUGCCGUCUCUGUAAUCGUUCACAUCCACCGAACUGUGUCUUUUUCUGCAGUGGUAAUGUGUCUGAAAAUGUGCGGCUUGAUGAACGAGUCUUUCUGAUUAUCAGUGACGGGUGAGUGUCUAUGGAUUGACUUUCCCAUGUUUAAGGCUUCAGUGAAUGUGUCAGUGAUUCAUAUUCAACUUACUUUCUCAAAAACAAUCUAGAAAGCUUCCGUCUGGAUCCCAAAAUUGUUGUCCAUGUGGUGAACAUAUCUCUGUCUCUGCAGAGCAUGAUCAAUAUGCUAAAGCAAGACACAAGGAAGGAUGGUAUAGAAGCGGGGAAUACCCAAAGGUCUCAUUUACAUGCGUUUGGAGAAGAUGUGCGAUCACUGGGUGUUCUACUGAUUUGUAAUGUCAUGAAUAAAUUGUAUUUUUCUUUCUUUUUUUUGUCUGCUUAAGAAUAUAUAUGUACCGUUUGAUUCAACAUAUCUGAUCCAACGUGAAUUGAGUCUUUUAUUAGAUCAUUCGUACUGGUCACAUGUUUUAAUUGCAUCGCUCGAGUUAUUUAGCUCUUUGCAGUUUUGUUUAUAAUAGGAGUAAUGGUGUUGGUGACAUUUGGAGCUUAGGAUCAAGUCGUGAGAAAGUUGUUUUCAAAAACAAAUCGUGAGAGAGAAAAAAAAAAGGGUAUUUGGUUUUCAGACUGAUCAAACUUCAGAGUAUGAACCAAGGGCAAGCCUAUGGAGCAUUCAGCAAUGAAAUACAUAUCAUACUUGCUGAGACAAAAAGUUAAGAAUAUCACAAACAGAUAACUGGUUUUAUGUGUGAGAGAGUUUCUUGAGAAUGAAUGUUAUGCUCAACAACCUAGGCUGUAUCACAGGGAUAGUAAUACGGAUGCUCCAUUCAUAUGCUGAAAUAAAUGUUCAGAUUUAGUUUCUCUGAAGUAUUCUGAAGUUGUUGAAUCAGUUUGUUCCCUUUGUUUUUAUUUGAAAGAAAUAAAUACAUUUUUCCUUUAGUUUAACAAAGUCUCAUUUACACAAAUACCUUUGAAAUCAAUACCCAAAUCGAACCAGCUUAACCCAAACCAAUUUGGUUUUGAUUCAGAGUCGAGUAUAACUUCGGUUCAAUUUAAAAGGUGCUUUUAAACAAAUUCGAUGGUACCGUCAAUCAAGUUCUUGACUUCGCCAAUAAUGUUUGGUAACAAAAAAUUCAACCGAUAAUGUGGAUAUUCAAAAUAUCAAUGAAAAUUAAUGAAAAAAAUAAUAAUUAACAAAAUACUGUUUCAAUCGAUAAACGAAAAACAUGGUACACUGAUAAAUUUCUACGGUUUCAAGUUAGAUAAAUUAAAUAUAUGCAAAAUAUGAUAUAAUUUUAUAAGUAAUAAACUAUUUUUUUAAUUUUUUAUAUAAAUAUAUAGUUUCAUUAAAUCAUAAAUUAAAAUGACUAUAUAAAUUUUAUAUAAACAGAAA